GGUCGUGACAGUGAACCAGCAACAGCAAGCAGCUACCCAGACAAAAAUCAGAACUUUAUGUGCUCCAUCAUCAUUAUAAGAGAUGCUUCGGGAUGCCCAUACAGAUAAAGGGUCUAACAAGGGCAGAGUCAAAUGGCAGAACAGGGAAGGAUGGCAGCCCACAAGAUCAGUACAGCAGUGGAAUCCAGUCAGAAAAAAGGUGAAGAGCAGCAAGAUGAACAGGGAAGAUGAGAGGCAGACAACAAUUGCAGGGAAGUGAUACGGAAGACCCUGCCAAAUUCCGUACUAGAUGGAGCUGAUCACUAAGACACCAAACCAAAGAGUGAUGCCUUACAGAAACACAUAGUCUCCAGUCAUGAUGCACUGCAAUUUUCUUUUUUCACUACUGAUGUCAUACCCACUCCUCACCAAGA